rnacentral:rRNA from 1 species
UACGUAGGGACCAAGCGUUGUUCGGAUUUACUGGGCGUAAAGGGCGCGUAGGCGGCCUUCUAAGUCAGACGUGAAAUCCCUCGGCUCAACCGAGGAACUGCGUCUGAUACUGGAAGGCUUGAAUCCGGGAGAGGGAUGUGGAAUUCCAGGUGUAGCGGUGAAAUGCGUAGAUAUCUGGAGGAACACCGGUGGCGAAGGCGGCAUCCUGGACCGGUAUUGACGCUGAGGCGCGAAAGCUAGGGGGGCAAACGGG